AAUGAACGUUGGCGGCGUGGAUUAGGCAUGCAAGUCGUGCGCGAACUGUAGCAAUACAGGGAGAGCGGCGAAAGGGAGAGUAAUACAUAGGUACCUACCCCCGGGCCUGGGAUAGCGGCGGGAAACUGCCGGUAAUACCAGAUAACGUCCCCGGACCAAAGAUGUGACUUCACCUGGGGAGGGGCCUAUGGCCUAUCAGCUUGUUGGCAGGGUAACGGCCUACCAAGGCAAAGACGGGUAUGGGGCGUGAGAGCGUGCCCCCACGCACUGGGACUGAGACACUGCCCAGACACCUACGGGGGGCUGCAGUGGAGAAUCUGCGGCAAUGGGCGCAAGCCUGACCGAGCGACGCCGCGUGCGGGAUGAAGGCCUUCGGGUUGUAAACCGCUGUCGUAGGGGAGGAAGGGCCUGUGAAGAACAGGACUUGACCGAUCCUAGGAGGAAGGGCCGGCUAAUCUCGUGCCAGCCGCCGCGGUAA
rnacentral:rRNA from 1 species